rnacentral:rRNA from 1 species
GACGAACGCUGGCGGCGUGCCUAAUACAUGCAAGUCGAGCGAACGGACGAGAAGCUUGCUUUUCUGAUGUUAGCGGCGGACGGGUGAGUAACACGUGGAUAACCUACCUAUAAGACUGGGAUAACUUCGGGAAACCGGAGCUAAUACCGGAUAAUAUUUUGCACCGCAUGGUUCAAAAGAGAAAGACGGUCUUGCUGUCACUUAUAGAUGGAUCCGCGCUGCAUUAGCUAGUUGGUAAGGUAACGGCUUACCAAGGCAACGAUGCAUAGCCGACCUGCGAGGGUGAUCGGCCACACUGGAACUGAGACGCGGUCCAGACUCCUACGGGAGGCAGCAGUAGGGAAUCUUCCGCAAUGGGCGAAAGCCUGACGGAGCGACGCCGAGUGAGUUAUGAAGGUCUUCGGAUCGUAAAACUCUGUUAUGAGGGGAGAACAUAUGUGUAAGGAACUGAGCACAUCUUGACGGUACCUAAUCAGAAAGCCACGGCUAACUACGUG